AAAGCAGGUAGAGGUGCGAUUAAAGAAAAGUACCCGUUGCGUCAAUCUGCCGACAGAUUGCAGCGGGAAAAGGCUUUGUCGCCGAAGAACAUAAGUGUCGGAGCUUAUGUAUCUGGUCGUGUGUCUAAUAUAUGCACGAUUGUCAUCAAGCGGUUAAGCUGUAGGUGGAGAGCUAUCACACAA
rfam:Eubacterium siraeum 70/3 draft genome.